rnacentral:rRNA from 1 species
AUAGAUAUUUUUAGAUAUUGAAAUUAUUUAAAAUAUUUAUAGGGAGUUACACGUUAUCGUUUCUUAGGUUAUCUAGUUGAAUGAAUUUAAAGGGAAACCUUUUUUAGAGGAUUUUUUUUGUAAAAAUAUGGUUAUUUUCUUAAUAGUAGGAAAUUGUGUAAUAACAUAAUUUUAUAAAUGAGGAAUCCUUUCUAUUUUUAAGAAUUUAUUUUAAUUAAUUAGUGGAUUAGUAGAAAAGAACUUAUUUAUUGAAAUUUUAUAUUAUUUUUAUUUUUAAAAGUUAUUUUUGUUUACUGAUUUUUUCUUAGACUGGUUAAUAAAAUCUUAGCUAUAAUAAUUAUAGUUAUUUCUGCCCUAUGCGAUUCUAGGUAAAUGGCUGUCUUGUGACACUAAGGUAGCAUAAUCAUUAGUUAUUUAAUUGAUAACUUGAAUGAAUGAAUUUUCUAGGAAGAUAUUAUUUUUUUUUUUAAAUUUAUAUUUUUGUUGAAAAUAACAAUAUUUCCUAUAAGACUAAAAGACCCUAAAAUUUUUAUAACUGAGAAGUUAUUUGGUUGGGGAAAUAAAAAGAAAUAAAUAAUAAAUAAUUUUUUUUUCUUUGAACUUUUAAUAAAGAUAAAAGGUAAAAUACUUUAGGGAUAACAGCUUAAUUAUUUUUAAGAGUUCUUAUUAUUAAAAUAGUUUUAGACCUCGAUGUUGGAUUGAGGGUUCUUUUUGGGGCAG